rnacentral:rRNA from 1 species
CUUACCAGGUCAAGACAUGGGCGUGAUUGACAGGCUAAUGACUUUUCUCGAUUCCAUGGAUGGUGGUGCAUGGUCGCACUUAGUUGGUGCAGUGAUUUGUCAGGUUUAUUCCGGUAACGAACGAGACCUCGGCCUUGUAAAUAGCUAUGCUGCUUACAGGGACAUUGGCGGCUACGCCAAGGAAGCUCGAGGCAAUUGCAGAUCUGGAAUGCCCUUAGAUGUCCUGGGUCGCACGCGUGCUACAAUGACGCCACGAACGAGCUUGCGUGAUGAAAGUUACGCAUAAUCAGCAGUCGGCGUCUUAAGGGAUAGUCUCUUGUAACUGUGGGACUCCAACUAGGAAUGUCUCGUAAGCACAAGUCAACAUCUUGUGUUGAUUACGUCCCUGCUCUUUGUACACACCGCCCGUCGCUCCUACCGAUCGAGUCCCUAGGUGAAUCAGAUGACGUAACGAAGUCAAAUAAACCUGAGCACAGAGUGACCGAGAAGUCGAUCCUUUU